AAAACGAAAAACAGUCAGGUACCAGGUAGAGUGGGAGAUGCAAAGUACAACUCUUGAGACCUAAAGAUGGUAAGUGUUUUUCCAACAUGACCUGGUACAUUAAAAAUAAGCAUUAGAAACAGACAUACCUUAGUAGAAUAGAAAAAAGAUACAUUACAUCAUGCUGAGUAAUCAGGGGGAGGACAAGAUUCAAGAUGAGAUAUAAACUAGCUCUUUAAGACUGGAUAGGAUGUUUUAUGUUAAAAAGAAUGCCAGAACCAUUUUGGAAAUGAGUAAUAAAAUGAACAAAUUAGUGACGUGAUAAUGUGUGAAUCACAUGAUAAUAGACACAAAUUGUUUGGAAAGUGAGUUAUUUGGUAGUAGUUUGGAUUGUAUUCAAGAAUAUAGACUGAAGUUGAACAGAGAGAAUCCACAAUCUAUUAGUUUGAUAAAGUAGUACCAAUUAUUUAAGCUUUCUGAGGUUUAGGUUCUUUAUUAAAAAAUGCUACUAAACAAGUCUCAGGCUGCCAAAAUCAUUAAAAUAUAUAAAAGCUAAAUAAAUAAAUAAAUAAAUAAAUAAAUAAAUAAAUAAAUAAAAAUAUAUAAAAGCCCUUAACAGAAUGCCUUGUGUGACACCCACACUUACUAUUUGUAGUAGUAUCUUUGGGUAGCUAGAAUUAGGAUCACUUUUUUUUAAGACUUUUAAUUAAUUAAUUAAUUUAAGAGACGGAGAGAGCAAGAGCAUGAAUAGGAGGACGGACAGAGGGAGAGGGAGAGAGAAACAAGCAGACUCCCUGCUGAGCAUAGAGCCUGAUAUGGAGCUCAAUCCCAGGACCCCCAAAAAUAUGAUCCAAGCCAAAGUCAAAUGCUUAACCAACUGAGACACCCAGGUGACCCAGGAUCACUAUUUAACGGCAUUCCCUAGAAAGUCUCAGAGCACCAUUGUGACUAUUUUCAAUUUACGCUAAUAACAAGGUGUUUUUCUCAGUACGGAACAACAAAGCUGUAACACCAGAUAACACAAUGAAGAGGCAGGUGGGCUGCAUAUGUACAGUGGUCUCCCCUUAUCCAGUUGGGAGUACAUUGUCAGAUCUCCCAGUGGAUGCCUGAAACCAUGGAUAGUACCAAACCUUGUAUAUACUGUGAUAUAUAUCACACACACACACACACACACACACACACACACACACACAUACACAGUUUAACCUGUAAAUUAGACACAGCAAGAGAUUAGCAAUGACAAUAAAAUAGAAUGAUUAUAACAAUAUACUAAAAUAAAAGUUAGGUGAAUGUGGUGUCUCUCUCUCUCAAAAUAUCUUACUGUCUAUACUCCCCCAUCUUGUGAGGCUGUGAGAUGAUAAAUGCCUAUGUGAUGAGGUGAAUGACAUGGGUACCGUGACUUAGCAUUAGCCUUAGUUGACCUUCUGACAACUCCUCAGAAGGAGGAUCAUCUGCUUUCCAAAGGCAGGGGACCACUGGUAAGGAAACUGCAGAAAGGGAAAUGGCAGAUAAGGGGUACGACUGUCUACUCUGAGAGAAGAGAAACUGAACUGAGCUGCAGGUCAAAUGAAAACAAAAUGAAGCCUUUCCCAGAGCCGAUUAUGACUACAAAUGGGUUUUGGCUUUUUUCUUUGUAUUUCUGCCUCUUUAAGACAUUGUUCAUGAAGAUAAUUUCAAUGUAACUUGACAGGGCUUCCAGUGAAAAAAUGUUAAAGUCGUUUUUAUUCUACUCCCUUCCCUGACGUCUCACUGAACAAAUAUGUACACACAGGAGGGAAGAGAGGGGACACCUUUUUUUUUUUUUUUCCCAAAGUGCCAAGAAAGGCCCCUAACUGCAAACCUAAAACUGUAAAAUAUCCUUGUCAUACACUAAAGUUUGGAUCAAAAUGAAUAUGGCUGCUUAGGGUCGAUAUUUAUCUUCUCAGACUUUGGAUAACUGCAGACUUCUCUACAAGAGAGUAAGAUGGUCUUGAAAAGGUGAUUCAGAAAUACUUUGUGGAGAGUGUUGACAAGGUCCAGGAGUGUGCAUGGUCUGAGAGGGAGAGGGAGAGUGACCUUGUGCAGACCACAAGCUACCAAGCAGAACGGGAGAGAGGCACCUACUGAGGAUCCCUGCUGAUGUGCCAUUUUAUCUUCAACUCUGCUUCUAAGCACAGGGAGGUGACCGGCCAGAAGAGAAGAUGGGCGGAGGGGAAACAGAUCAUCUGCUUACAUCAUAGGACUUCCCUGUGAGCUGCAGCUUUGCCCUAAAAGCUCAAUGCUAAACAGAGAGAUGUUCCUAAAUCAGAAGACAUCCUAGAUUUUGUGAGGGGGAAUUUGAAACAACAAACCUGAAUGUGUUUCAGUUUGUUUCAAGGCAAGUGCCCCACCUCCCCCACUUUACUCUACUUCACUCAUCUUCAAAUACCUACUCCAGAUGGCGUUCACUCCCAUGCCAUUCCCUCCACUGAAACAGGGGCAGUAACUGAAAGAAAUCAGCACAGAACCAGGGACUACAAAUUUUAAAUAUGCAUAGAGUUAUGUUCAGAAUGUCAUUUUGUGAGUGCCAGUGAAGGUCACCUCUGGGUGAGUAGAAUUCUUUGCAUGUUUAUGUCUUACUUACAUUUAAAAAAAAAAAUGAGAUGUAAACAUUUGGCAAAUGGAUAAGGAAGUGAAACGCCAUACAAAAAGAAGAAGGGAAAACUAAGGGGAAAUGACUAUGGGGCACAAAGUGAGAAUCAGAGAAAACAAGACAAUGGAAAAAGAGGAUGGACCCAUUGAUUCAUGUACUGAGCAAACUUUGUGAUGCCCCAGCUCCUGAGCUGGUUGUUGGAAUCAGAGAUGAAAGGUGAGAGUCGCAGGGAACUGAUGGUGCACAGUCUAACUUAGGAGACAGGCCAGGAAGGAAAUGAUUUCAACAGAGUGAGGUUUUGCUUUUGCUUUUGUUUUAGUUGUAAAUGGAAGUGCAGACUGCUAUAGGUGGAUCCUAUUUCUGAACAUUGAAGUGUUGCCUACUUUUUCAGGCACUGCCCUGGUGAUGGACACAUAAAGUGAAAUGGGGUGCUUUCCCAACACUACCCAUGUGCUGCUGGCUCUUGUUUCUGCUCUGUGUUCCUCUGAAGCGGGAAGCAAUGAGGCACAGACUAGUGAAGACAGAAAUACCAGCAUAGGGAAGGGUGAAGGAAGUUGAAAGGGGCAACUGACUGGUGGCUAUUAUUAAUAACAUUAUUUAUUUUUACUAUUAUUAUUAUUUUGUGUGGCUGGUAUAGGAGGAAAAAUCUUUUUCCAGAGUGUGAUGGAGAAUGUAGUUCAGUAAUAAGAUUCUGAACCAGGGAUUGUGGAAAACGACAGGAAGUGCUAAUCAGAGUGCUAUACAACUAUUGCCCAAGUAAUACUGGGGCUCACACAUUUCCAGUUGCAAAUUCACACAAUGGCUAUACCAUCUAUUUCUAGCAAUGAUCAGUAAUGUAGAAGUCAAAGCAAAAAAAGAUUGGAUUGGAUUGGAUUAUUUUGGCCAUGUGUAAGAAUGACAAGAAAGCAAUGAGAUUUUUAAUAGUUGAAAGAAAUGGUCAUUUCUUCCUGAUUGCGAUGAUUGCCACAAAGUCUAGGUGUGUUCAGAAAAACGAGGAAGGCCAAAGGGAAUGAAAUUAGAACCUCAGGAAAAAGAGAUAAAAAAGAAAAAGGAAAUCAGAGACUUGAAGCUUCAAGGAGGUAAGAGGAUGACAUAUCAGAAUUUAAAACAUAAGAGGUGGAGGAGGUUUGCAUAAUGACAGUUUUCCAGGAUGUUACUCGGGGUGGUGAGGAGCCAAAUGGGAAGCAGUAAUGAGUGGAAGUCUACUGUGUGUAGGAAUUCAGAUCAUGCUAGAAUUGAGAUUUUUUUCUUAGCGAAAUUUGGCCAAAAAUCCACUCAACAUUUCACUCAUUGUUCAGUGGAAAAGGAAUGCAAAAUUAAUAUAAAUCUCACUAUCUCUCUCUCUCUUUCUAGUCUAUAUAAAAUAUAUACAGUGUGUGUGUGUGUGUGUGUGUGUGUGAAUGUUGUUCUUUAUUCCUUGUAGAAGUUAGCUAAAUAGCAUCAAUUUUGUUUUCCUCAAACAAUUCUCAAAUAGUAUUUUAGUAAACCUGAUGAAAUACAGGUUGAAAACCCCUCUUUGAUAGUUUGCUCUAGGAGUGCCUGGGCGGCUCAGUCGGUUGAGGGUCCAGCUCUUGAUUUCAGCUCAGGUCAUGAUCUCAGAGUCGUAGAUCAAGCCCUGCAUUGGGCUCCAUGCUCAGUGCAGAGUCAGCCUCCAAUUCUCUCUCUCUCUGCCCCUCCUCCAUUUGCAUACUCCCUCUAAAUAAAUAAAUAAUAGUUACAGCUCCAGAAAAAUGGUUCUCAAAGUAUGCUCCCUAACUAACAACAUCAUUAUCACCUAGGAACUUGCUGGAAAUAAGUAUUCUAAGGCCCUACCCUAGAUUAGUAAACAGAAACUCCGAAGAUGAGGCCAUCAUUCUGUGCCUUAACCAGACUCCUAUGGGAUUCUGAUGCAUGCUUGAAUUUUAGGACUGCUGCUCUACAAGUUAUUUAUACUAAUUGAUCAAAUGAUAUUUUUUGACAUCCAUAAUUUUCUUUUUAAAAGAUUUUAUUUAUUUAUUUAUUCAUUCAUUCAUUCAUUCAUUCAUUCAUUCAUGAGAGACAUAGAUAGAGAAGCAGAGACACAGGCAGAGGGAGAAGCAGGCUCCCCACAAGAAGCCC
rnacentral:lncRNA from 1 species